AACGAGGAUUCCCCUAGUAACGGCGAGUGAACGGGGAAAAGCCCAGCGCUGAAUCCAUCGGCCACUGGUCGCUUGGAAUUGUAGCGUAUAGGUGCGGCCGUCCGGUCGUUUCGCUUACCCAAAGUCCCCUUGAGCGGGGCCAUUGUCCAAAGAAGGUGCUAGACCUGUACGGGUAGUGAAAUGGUCGGUUGGUUGCUCCUUGGAGUCGGGUUGCCUGGGAUCGCAGCCCAAAGUUGGUGGUAGACCUCAUCUAAGGCUAAAUAUGGCCACGAAACCGAUAGCAAACAAGUACCGUGAGGGAAAGUUGCAAAGAACUUUGAAGAGAGAGUUCAAGAGGGCGUGAAACCGCUGAGAUUGAAACGGAUAGAGUUGACGGAACUCGGCUGCAUUCAUUCGAUCGGCCUAGCGGCCCGAUGGGACUGGCUUCCUCGAUGAGGGCAGUACUGUCGGCAGCUGUUGGGUGCUUGAUUGGUGUAUUUGCGGCCGGUAUGCGCUGAGAGCCUUGUGGUCGCAUGUUGACGGGUGUGUAGUGGACCAUUCCUUCCGGGCGUGGAACCCUCCACACUUUGAGGCAUGUCGGCCGUGAGGUUUCCAACUAUGGCGUCUCCGCUAUGGUGCGUCGGCUUUGUCGAGCUGUUGUGACUGUGGGAUGUCGCGUGCGACCUUCUGCGGUUGGCGAUGGCGUGACGAGGUGCAGAUGCGUCGAGAUGCGUAUCUCGGUGUGAACGUUGACCACCUAU
rnacentral:rRNA from 1 species